GCAUGAGUUAUGUCAUGUUAUCGAUAUGUGAAUACAUAGCAUAUCAGAAGGCACACCCGGAGAACUGAAACAUCUUAGUACCCGGAGGAAGAAAAAGAAAAUUCGAUUCCCUUAGUAGCGGCGAGCGAAACGGGAAGAGCCCAAACCAACAAGCUUGCUUGUUGGGGUUGUAGGACACUCUAUACGGAGUUACAAAGGACGACAUUAGACGAAUCAUCUGGAAAGAUGAAUCAAAGAAGGUAAUAAUCCUGUAGUCGAAAAUGUUGUCUCUCUUGAGUGGAUCCUGAGUACGACGGAACACGUGAAAUUCCGUCGGAAUCUGGGAGGACCAUCUCCUAAGGCUAAAUACUCUCUAGUGACCGAUAGUGAACCAGUACCGUGAGGGAAAGGUGAAAAGCACCCCGGAAGGGGAGUGAAAUAGAACCUGAAACCGUGUGCUUACAAGUAGUCAGAGCCCGUUAAUGGGUGAUGGCGUGCCUUUUGUAGAAUGAACCGGCGAGUUACGAUUUGAUGCAAGGUUAAGCAGUAAAUGUGGAGCCGUAGCGAAAGCGAGUCUGAAUAGGGCGUUUAGUAUUUGGUCGUAGACCCGAAACCAGGUGAUCUACCCUUGGUCAGGUUGAAGUUCAGGUAACACUGAAUGGAGGACCGAACCGACUUACGUUGAAAAGUGAGCGGAUGAACUGAGGGUAGCGGAGAAAUUCCAAUCGAACCUGGAGAUAGCUGGUUCUCUCCGAAAUAGCUUUAGGGCUAGCCUCAAGUGAUGAUUAUUGGAGGUAGAGCACUGUUUGGACGAGGGGCCCCUCUCGGGUUACCGAAUUCAGACAAACUCCGAAUGCCAAUUAAUUUAACUUGGGAGUCAGAACAUGGGUGAUAAGGUCCGUGUUCGAAAGGGAAACAGCCCAGACCACCAGCUAAGGUCCCAAAAUAUAUGUUAAGUGGAAAAGGAUGUGGCGUUGCCCAGACAACUAGGAUGUUGGCUUAGAAGCAGCCAUCAUUUAAAGAGUGCGUAAUAGCUCACUAGUCGAGUGACACUGCGCCGAAAAUGUACCGGGGCUAAACAUAUUACCGAAGCUGUGGAUUGUCCUUUGGACAAUGGUAGGAGAGCGUUCUAAGGGCGUUGAAGCAUGAUCGUAAGGACAUGUGGAGCGCUUAGAAGUGAGAAUGCCGGUGUGAGUAGCGAAAGACGGGUGAGAAUCCCGUCCACCGAUUGACUAAGGUUUCCAGAGGAAGGCUCGUCCGCUCUGGGUUAGUCGGGUCCUAAGCUGAGGCCGACAGGCGUAGGCGAUGGAUAACAGGUUGAUAUUCCUGUACCACCUAUAAUCGUUUUA
rnacentral:rRNA from 1 species